rnacentral:rRNA from 1 species
CAGCCGCCGCGGGAAUACGUAGGGUGCGAGCGUUAAUCGGAAUUACUGGGCGUAAAGCGUGCGCAGGCGGUUAUAUAAGACAGAUGUGAAAUCCCCGGGCUCAACCUGGGACCUGCAUUUGUGACUGUAUAGCUAGAGUACGGUAGAGGGGGAUGGAAUUCCGCGUGUAGCAGUGAAAUGCGUAGAUAUGCGGAGGAACACCGAUGGCGAAGGCAAUCCCCUGGACCUGUACUGACGCUCAUGCACGAAAGCGUGGGGAGCAAACAGGAUUAGAUACCCCUGUAGUCCCUGUCUCUUAUAC